AUUGAACGCUGGCGGCAUGCCUUACACAUGCAAGUCGAACGGCAACACGGGUGCUUGCACCUGGUGGCGAGUGGCGAACGGGUGAGUAAUACAUCGGAACAUGUCCUGUAGUGGGGGAUAGCCCGGCGAAAGCCGGAUUAAUACCGCAUACGAUCUACGGAUGAAAGCGGGGGACCUUCGGGCCUCGCGCUAUAGGGUUGGCCGAUGGCUGAUUAGCUAGUUGGUGGGGUAAAGGCCUACCAAGGCGACGAUCAGUAGCUGGUCUGAGAGGACGACCAGCCACACUGGGACUGAGACACGGCCCAGACUCCUACGGGAGGCAGCAGUGGGGAAUUUUGGACAAUGGGCGAAAGCCUGAUCCAGCAAUGCCGCGUGUGUGAAGAAGGCCUUCGGGUUGUAAAGCACUUUUGUCCGGAAAGAAAUCCUUGGCCCUAAUACGGUCGGGGGAUGACGGUACCGGAAGAAUAAGCACCAGCUAACUACGUG
rnacentral:rRNA from 1 species